rnacentral:rRNA from 1 species
UACGUAGGGGCAAGCGUUAUCCGGAUUUACUGGGUGUAAAGGGAGCGCAGACGGCAGUGCAAGUCUGAUGUGAAAGCCCGGGGCUCAACCCCGGAACUGCAUUGGAAACUGUACAGCUUGAGUGUCGGAGAGGUAAGCGGAAUUCCUAGUGUAGCGGUGAAAUGCGUAGAUAUUAGGAGGAACACUGGUGGCGAAGGCGGCUUACUGGACGAUUACUGACGUUGAGGCUCGAAAGCGUGGGGAGCAAACAGGAUUAGAUACCCUGGUAGU